CGGGGUGUGGCGCAGUUGGCUAGCGCGCGUGGUUUGGGACCACGAGGCCCUGGGUUCAAGUCCCAGCACCCCGACCA
rnacentral:tRNA from 1 species